CAAGUUACAAAACACCCUGUAUAUUUGGUAAAAAGAUUAACGCGCAACAAUGGAACAUUGAAACUUAUUGGUCGAAUUGGUCAAAGUUUUUGAGACAAGAUUAGUUGAUUUAAUUUAUUUUAGAAUUCGUCUCGAGCUUCGUCAGGAGAUCACGGUGAGAUCAAAUUUACUUUCUUACGGAAUCUUCUCGAAUCAGAAGAGCACACGUCAGA